rnacentral:lncRNA from 1 species
AGAAAGCAGAAGUGGGGAGUAAGGGGCAAAUUAACCUGCGGACCUGACACCUGUAGUAAAGGUCAGGGGCUGCAGUUCAGACUUGGGAAGCUUCCGUGUCAAGCAGGAGGGGCCUUCCAGGGGGCUCGUCUUUGGUUCCCCAGAAGGGAGUCCAGUACCUGACAAACCACUGCCCGGACUGCGGAAACUGGGUGACUGCCGCUCAGGUCGAUGACCUACUGUUGGUGCUGACAUACUUCUUCAUCAACGGCUCGGGGACCUGGGGAAGGUUGUUGGAGAGUCCACGGGUAUAAAAGGAAGUCCCUGAACGCAGACUCCCUCGGGACCCUGCCUCCACCUCCAGCCGCAGGGAAGAGGGACCCCACGCUUCAGAGGGCGCCUGUCUCUGCAGGAAAGGAAGCCGCCCUAGGACUAUUUCCCAUGAGCAGUGCCUUUGUGAACCCCGGAGCAACGUGCUCUUCCUGCCUGUCCCUGACCAACUCAACAGCAUCGUGGCAUGUUUCCCUUUCUAUCCUAAACUAGAGAAUCCCCAUGGAAUCUGUAGUGAGCCCAAACGACAUAAAGUGAAGAAGCAGUUACCACUAAUUUCCAUGGAAAAAUUUUUGAGUGUUCCCAGGUCC